ensembl:lncRNA
GUGCAAUGUUGCUUGCUGUUUUUUCUCUGCUCCAGAACAGCUCGCUCAGAGGAAGAUCGAGACUCACUGUGGGAUGCCUGGGGUUCAUGGAGUGAAUGUUCACGCACGUGUGGAGGAGGGGCUUCGUAUUCACUGAGACGUUGCCUGAGCAGCAAGACCUGUGAAGGGCGAAACAUCCGAUACAGGACAUGCAGCAAUGUGGACUGUCCUCCAGAAGCAGGUGAUUUUCGUGCUCAGCAGUGCUCGGCGCAUAACGAUGUCAAGUAUCAGGGACAGUUUUAUGAGUGGCUUCCUGUCUCUAACGAUCCUGACAACCCAUGUUCGCUGAAGUGCCAGGCCAGAGGAACAGCUUUGGUUGUAGAGCUGGCACCAAAAGUUCUGGAUGGGACCCGAUGCUACACUGAAUCCCUGGAUAUGUGCAUCAGCGGCUUGUGCCAAAUUGUUGGCUGUGACCGCCAGCUGGGAAGCACUGUCAAGGAAGAUAACUGUGGGGUCUGCAAUGGUGAUGGGUCCACCUGCCGGCUGGUUCGAGGCCAGUAUAAGUCCCAGUUCUCAGCAAAUAAAAUGGUCGAUACAGUAGUUGCUAUUCCCUAUGGAAGCAGGCAUAUUCGCCUCGUGCUGAAAGGACCCGAUCAUUUAUAUUUGGAAACCAAGACUCUCCAAGGUGUUAAGAGUGAAAACAACCUCAGCUCCACAGGUUCCUUCAUUGUGGACAAUUCUAGCAUUGACUUCCAGAAGUUUCCAGACAAGGAGAUACUGAAAAUAUCUGGGCCUCUCACUGCAGACUUCACUAUCAAGAUAGUCUACGUUGGUGCUGCUGACAGUUCAGUCCAGUUCAUCUUCUAUCAGCCUAUCAUUCAUCGAUGGAGAGAAACUGAUUUUUUCCCUUGUUCAGCAUCCUGUGGAGGAGGUUAUCAACUGACUUCUGCUGAAUGUUUUGAUCUGAGGAGUAAUCGGGUAGUAGCAGAUCAAUACUGUCACUAUUACCCUGAAAAUAUCAAGCCAAAGCCAAAACUUCAGGAGUGUAAUCUGGAUCCUUGUCCUGCAAGAUGGGAAAGUACGCCCUGGACUGCCUGCUCCUCAUCCUGCGGAGGGGGCAUUCAAAGCCGCAGUAUCUCAUGUGUGGAGGAAGACAUUCAAGGGCAUAUUAGCCCCGUGGAAGAAUGGAAAUGCAUGUACACUCCAAAGAUGCCUCUUGUCCAACCUUGCAAUAUAUUUGACUGCCCAAAGUGGCUUGCUCAGGAAUGGUCACCGUGCACUGUGACCUGUGGACAAGGGCUCAGAUAUCGCGUGGUCCUUUGCAUUGAUCACAGGGGGAUGCAUACAGGAGGCUGUAGCUCUAAAACAAAGCCACACAUAAAAGAAGAAUGCAUUGUACCCACUCCUUGUUACAAACCCAAAGAGAAACUUCCCGUGGAAGCAAAGUUGCCGUGGUACAAACAAGCUCAAGAGCUGGAAGAAGGAGCAGUGGUGUCUGAAGAACCUUCGUUUAUUCCUGAGGCUUGGUCCUCCUGUAGUGUCACCUGUGGAGUGGGCAGCCAGGUGCGGCUUGUGAAAUGUCAAGUGCUUCUGUCUUUCUCUCAGUCUGUGGCUGAUUUGCCUAUUGAUGAAUGUGAAGGUCCCAAACCCGUGUCUCAGAGAGCCUGUUACAGUGGUCCCUGCAAUGGAGAAGCAGCUGAACAUACUCCUGAAGAAACGGAUCUGCUGUAUGGUAGAUUGCAGGAAUUCGAUGAGCUCUAUGACUGGGAAUAUGAGGGCUUCACUGAGUGUUCGGAGUCUUGUGGAGGAGGUGUCCAGGAGGCUGUGGUGACCUGCCUGAACAAGCAAACCAGGGAGAUUGCAGAUGAGACUCAGUGUGUAACAAGUCGCCGUCCUCCACAGCUGCUGAAAGCCUGUAGUCUGGAUCCCUGCCCUCCAAGAUGGGAAAUUGGGAAAUGGAACACCUGCAGUCUUACGUGUGGGGUUGGAUUGCAGACACGAGAUGUCUUCUGUUCUCACCUACUAUCAAGAGAAAGUAAUGAGACCGUGAUUUUAGCAGAUGAAUUGUGCCAUAAACCUAAGCCAUCGCUUGUACAAGCCUGUAAUCGCUUCGACUGCCCGCCCUCCUGGUAUACUACAGAAUGGCAAGAGUGUUCACAGACAUGUGGAGGUGGUGUCCAGAAGCGAGAUAUACUUUGCAAGCAGCGUCUGGCAGAUGGAAGCUUGUUAGAGCUGCCAGAAACAUUUUGCUCCAUGCCGAAGCUGAUUUCCCAGCAAACCUGCAAAAAUGAGGACUGUCCUAAUGAGUGGCUUCUUUCUGACUGGUCACAGUGUUCAGUGAGUUGUGGAGAGGGGACCCAAAGUCGAAAUGCUAUUUGCAGAAAGAUGCUGAAAACUGGGGGUUCUGUUAUCAUCAAUUCCUCCCUGUGCCCACCUCUGCCAUUCUCAUCCUUACUCAGGCCCUGUGCACUAGCAACCUGUGCAAGGCACAACAGGCCAGCUCAUAAGCAAAGUCCUCAUAUUGUGGCCGUAAAGAAAGUUUACAUCCAGACAAGGAAGCAGAAGAAGCUACACUUUAUUGUGGGUGGGCAUGCCUAUCUGCUGCCCAAAACCUCUGUUAUUCUCCGAUGCCCCACAAGGAGGUUCCGGAAGUCAAUGAUCUUCUGGGAGAAGGAUAACAAGAGGCUCAUCAGCUCAGCUCACAUCACCAUUGCACCCUAUGGGUACAUGAAAAUCCAUCGUUUGAGGCCUUCAGACACUGGGAUAUAUACCUGCAUAGCAGGGCCAGCCCGGGAGCAUUUUGUAAUUAAACUAAUAGGAAGCAACAAAAAUCUCAUUGCUGGGCAGCCAGCUGGCAUUAGGGAGGAAGAGGCCAUGAGAAAGUCCGGUCUAAAUGAAGCCUUGCGAACACAGGAGAAACAUAUCAAUGGGAUUCUCUUCAAUGGAAGCAAGACUGAAAAGCGAGGGCAUCUUGCUGACCCUAGUGGCUGGUAUGACAAUAUUGUCUCAAGGUUGCUACAGCACAAGGGCUGGCCAGGGGGAAAUCUGGAGUUCCGUGAAGCCCAGGAGUCCACAGAGAGAAAUGUGUCCUCAGAGGAAGACCAGAGCCAGGAGUAUAGCCUGCCAUAUACUAUGGUCACAGAUCAGAAACAGUUGGAUGAUAUCAUAAGGAAUUUGUCUCAGCAACCUGAGGAGCUUAAAGAUAUUUACACUGAGCAGAUUGUUGUACAGUUGGCUCAUGAGAUUUUCAAGAGCCACUUGGAGCAUCAGGAAUCUGUCCUCAAAGCAUCAAGACGAAGAGUUGAUUCAGCUUCCAUGGAAUACCCUUUCCACAGACAUGUUUCUGGAUUUACCAGCUCCUUGAGGACAUCAUCUGCUGAAGCAUUUCUUCCCACCUCUAUGAACCCAACGAAUGGCUUGCACAGCCCUCAUCAAAAGCCUGCCAUCCUCCGAAAGAUUUCAGCAGCACAACAGCUUUCUGCUUCAGAGGUUGUCACCCACCUGGGACAGACAGUGGUUCUAGCCAGUGGCACACUGAGUGUGCUGCUUCACUGCGAAGCAGUGGGAAACCCAAAGCCCACCAUCAGUUGGGCUAAGAAUGGAGAGGAGGUGAAAUACAAUGAUAGGAUGCUACUUCAGCCUGAUGACUCCUUGCAGAUUCUAGCACCUGUGGAAGCUGAUGUGGGUUUCUAUGCUUGCAACGCAUCUAAUGCUCUGGGAUCUGACUCUGUGUCCAUUGCUGUCACUCUAGCAGGAAAACCACUAAUAAAGGCAUCAAGAGCUACUGUGAUCAACACUGAAUUGCCUGCUGUCACUGCUGAUAUUGGAAGCACAGUGAAAACAAUCCAAAGAACAAAUGUUACCAUUAGCUGCCAGGUUGCAGGUGUUCCUGAAGCGGAAGUUACUUGGUUUAAAAAUAAGGUCAAGCUGUCCCCUGCUCACCACCUGCACGAUGGGUUGCUGCUAAUUGCAAAUGUUUCUCUGUCGGAUCAGGGGUUAUAUUCCUGCAGGGCAGCCAAUCUACGUGGGGAGGUAACUGAAAGCUCCCAGCUGUUGGUUCUUGGUAAGUACAGGGUAUUUUGCUUGCGAAGCUAUAGGAAUAUAGCUGAUGGCCUAAUUAGCCUUCAGAAUUAAUCAGAGGACGUGAAAAGAGGGAAUGACAUAGCAGCAAAGGACUACCCCUUCCAGGGCAGAGAUAUUCAGUUUCAUUAUUUCACACUUGAUGGUGAAGAAAAUGAUUUAUUAAUUAAGUGAUUCUCUUGAAAUGAGAAUGAUGCGGCUUGUUUUGCUAUGUUCUGCUUCAAUGAGCAGCAUUUCUUGUACAUAGCUGUGUGGUACUGACCCAUUUUAUACCAAACAGGUGCAUAAACACAGUGCACUUUUGAAAAACACUUCCCAAGUUCAGUAAAGGAUGAAGUUUACUUUUCCUUGAGUUUUAAAUAACAAGCAUAAAGCCAUUCUUGGUGAUUUGAAAAGACAAUGUCAGCUGUGAAGUAUGGGUAGAUGUGUU